UGGGGAAUAUUGGACAAUGGGGGCAACCCUGAUCCAGCCAUGCCGCGUGUGUGAAGAAGGCCUUCGGGUUGUAAAGCACUUUAAGUGGGGAGAAAGGCUCCAGCGUUAAUACCGUUGGGGAUUGAUGCUACCCACAGAAUAAGCACCGGCUAACUCUGUGCCAGCAGCCGCGGUAAUACAGAGGGUGCAAGCGUUAAUCGGAAUUACUGGGCGUAAAGCGCGCGUAGGCGGCUGUCUAAGUCGGAUGUGAAAUCCCCGGGCUUAACCUGGGAACUGCAUUCGAUACUGGGCGGCUAGAGUAUGAGAGAGGGAGGUAGAAUUUCACGUGUAGCGGUGAAAUGCGUAGAUAUGUGGAGGAAUACCGGUGGCGAAGGCGGCCUCCUGGCUUAAUACUGACGCU
rnacentral:rRNA from 1 species